AUUGAACGCUGGCGGCAGGCCUAACACAUGCAAGUCGAGCGGCUGAAGAGUACUUGCUCGUUCUUACGGCGGCCGAGGGGCGGGUAAUUCCUAGAAACCUCCCUGUUUGCUUGGUCUUACGUGCUGAAAUGGGCGCUCUUACCGCAUUCCCCCUUACGGCGUACGGGUGGGAGCAUCGGAUCUUCGGCCCUCGGACGAUCCUAUGUCGGAUUAGCUAGUUGGUGGGGUAAAGGCCUACCAAGGCGACGAUCCGUAACUGGUCUGAGAGGAUGAUCAGCCACACUGGAACUGAGACACGGUCCAGACUCCUACGGGAGGCAGCAGUGGGGAAUAUUGGACAAUGGGCGAAAGCCUGAUCCAGCCAUGCCGCGUGGGUGAAGAAGGUCUUCGGAUUGUAAAGCCCUUUAGGUGGGAAAGAAAAGCAGUAAGUUAAUACCUUGCUGUUUUGACGGUACCAACAGAAUAAGCACCGGCUAACUUCGUG
rnacentral:rRNA from 1 species